rfam:Cajanus cajan Scaffold126677_1, whole genome shotgun sequence.
AUCCCAGCUAAAUGGUCAUUGUUUAUCUGAUUCAUGGGAGGCAGAAAUAAUACAUGGUAAUUCGCUGAUAGCACCCUUUCUCAUCAGAGGGUUGCUAAUAGUAUUUUAUCAGACAUAU